rnacentral:sRNA from 1 species
AUUCCAGAUGUGCAGCACCAUGAGGGCCCUGGUGCUUCUGCUGUCCCUGUUCCUGCUGGGUGGCCAGGCCCAGCAUGGGUCUGACUGGACCUACUCAGAUUCACGUUGUUCACUACAAUUCUAAAUACAAGAGCUACGAUAUAGCCCAAGAUGCGCCGGAUGGUUUGGCUGUACUGGCAGCCUUCGUUGAGGUGAAGAAUUACCCCGAAAACCCUUAUUACAGCAACUUCAUUUCUCAUCUGGCCAACAUCAAGUACCCAGGACAAACAACAACCCUGACUGGCCUUGACACUCAGGACAUGCUGCCCAGGAACCUCCAGCACUACUACAGCUAUCAUGGCUCGCUCACCACGCCUCCCUGCACUGAGAACGUCCACUGGUUUCUGCUGGCAGAUUUUGUCAAGCUCUCCAGGACGCAGGUUUGGAAGCUGGAGAAUUCCCUACUGGAUCACCGCAAUAAGACCAUCCACAAUGAUUACCGCAGGACCCAGCCCCUGAACCACAGGGUAGUGGAAUCCAACUUCCCGAGUCAGGAAUAUACUCUAGGCUCUGAAUUCCGGUUUUACCUACAUAAGAUUGAGGAAAUUCUUGAGUACUUAAGAAGAGCAUUGAACUGAGGAAAGCUAAGAGGAAGAUUCAAUAUUAACUAGCUUGAAGCCUGACCUAGCCAGAAGAGGUGCCUGUCUGCUGCAGCCGCACCCUGCCUUGUCUAAGAAACCAUGUGUGUCUGGAACACGCUGCUCCCCCUGGGGCAGCUGUUGAAUUUCUGAUUAAAAGAGGGAAACGAUC